rnacentral:lncRNA from 1 species
AUCCAACGGUUCCUAAAGAAUCACUAUUUUAAUUAAAACUUUUCUGAAGCCUUAGAGACAAAUCAGUCUCCUCCUCGUACCUUCUCAUCUUCCUCGUACUUCCUUGACUCAUCGCCGGAAUCCUCGCCGCCGGCAAACCAAACCCACGCCAAAGGCCUCUAAAUUAACACCAUUGAUUCAUCCUACCCUCCUCUUUCCAUUCCCCAUAUUUCCAUCCCUCGAAUCCUUCUCCAUCUCGUCGAAUAAUCUUUUGAAGAUUUUUUGGCCAUGACGCCGGCUAACCCAAUCGACCCCAAAAACACCACAGGACCUGCAGAGUUCCGUUACCCAACCCCCAUAAGCGCUUGCCUCGAAUCUGGUUGGAGCGUCUCGAAUAUCAAAUCGACUUUUUUCGGUUAAACCCUAAAAUGGCCAACGUGCAUGUAACUGAUGUCAAAGGGUCCCUAGACGUCCCUCGUAAGGAAUGGAUCGUCAAUAAAGCUCAAAUGAUCCUAGGCAUGGCUGAAUUUGGGAAUAACACGACUAGCCGGAGUUUUCUUUUCAUCAGUAAUUUUUCUUAGAUUUCUUAGCAGUUCUUUGUAGUUAAUUAGUUGUUUGGUUGGUUAGAGUCUAAUCGUAUUUGUUUGUAUUUAUUUGGUUCAAUAUGUUAGUUUGAUCGAUAUAAUUCCUUUCAUCUUACUUGUUCAAGUUUAGGAUUUAGUCUGUUUGUUUUUUCUGAUUGAGUAGCUUUAAUUCAGAAGAUGUUCUUUAGAUUUUCCGAUUUAGUAUUGAGCCCUAUUUUAAUUCCGGUAGAUUGAAUAUUGAUUAAUUAAAUGUGUAGGCUUAUAAUGGUUUUAGAUUUUGUUUACCUCAAUAGGCUUCAUUUAGUUCUAGGUGGUUAAAUUAGUUCUUUGGUUUGUUAAUGGUUUAGUUUGCCUCAUAGAUUAGUAUGAUUAUUAAAGUUUAGUUUAAUUGACAUAAUGUGGGUAAUUUUAGUUAAGAAGAGAGGGUAGUUUGGGGAAUAAACAAGAGGAAUAAAUUAAGACUAGGGGAGAUUACAUGUGAGGGUAAUUUAGGUCUUAUUUGGGAAAGGGUAGGUCAUAGAAGCUUCUAGUAUUUUGUUCACCUAUAAAUAUGCAUUCAUUUGCCUUGUGGAGGGGGUCUUCCUUCAGCUAGAAAAAUUCCUUAAAAGCACCCUCCAAUCCCCAGACCUGGAGUUCAUUUUCCAGUCUAAAAAUUGCUUUUGGAUCCUAAAUUCUUCAAAAGAAAAAUAAUAAAUAAAAAAUAUAAAUGAUUGAAAAUAAAAAACAAGUAUUGUGCUUAGUUAAUUUCAUAUUUUAGUUAGUUUGGAUUGAAUCAUUAUCUCAAGUUCUGGUGUCUGAAGUUCAAUAUCUUUCCUGGUUCAAUUUCGAGUGGCUUCUGAGUUUAAACGAGCCAUAUUUGGAAUCAGUUAUUGGAUUUGUAAUUGUGAUGGUAUUUCUGAGUGUGCUCUAUUCAAUCUGGGUGCUGCAGUUGGAUUGGUUUUUAUGUGUGAAAUUUCAAAAUACCUUUGAACUCUUAGACUGGCUUUGGAUUGCCUGUGGUUAUCUCUGUUGGUUGCUGCUGAUUACUUGUUGUAGCUGACCUAUUCUCUUUCUUCUGAUUACGUUUCUACUUCCAGGUAUUCUCCUUGGCCUAGUAUGAACUACGAGGGAUCUAUGUAAUUCUGCUUGAAGAUCAAAUGAGAAAUAUGUUCGAAUUGACCGCUGAUUCAUUUGACAUAUGUUAAGUUUCAUAUGUAAUGUAUUUCUGUUUAAAUGAAUGCUAUACCUAUGAUUGAAGAGAAAUUUGUUGUAAUAGACAAUUGAUUAAUGGUUGUAUAUACUUGGGAACUAGAGACUGAGUAUUAACACUAUUUUAGAAUGGCUUGAAUCAAUUGGAAAACCUUUGGUUGCCCUAUGUUAUCGAAUCACGCAUCUAGGUUGCUGUCCAUUUUUGGUAAAUGCUAUGAAGUGUCCAAGCGGUGAUUCAUGUAAAAAAAUAAUUCAAAGUUGAGUUUAUGGACUGAAUUGUUUGAGCA